ACUCGCCCAUUCACCCAUCAGUGGACUUUGGGUUAUCUCCACCCUUGGCUCUUGUGAAUGUUGCUGUGAGGGGCACGGGGGUACCCGUAUCUCCUCAAGGCCCUGCACUCAGUUUCUGUGUGCAAACACCCAGAAGUAGACUUGCUGGCUCACAUGAUGCUUCCUGCUCUUGAACAUCGGACUCCAAGUUCUUCUGUUUUGGAACUGGGACUGGCUUUCCUUGCUCCUCAGCCUGCAGACGGCCUAUUGUGGGACCCUGUGAUUGUGCAAGGGGAAGUCACGAACACCACACAGUCCUGCAAGCUUCUUAGAGUCCUUGUCGUCAGCCCAGGGCCCUUGGCUCACUUCUCAGGAGGUGAGUGGAAGCCACGGUCUUCCCGCCUUUAGUUCUGAGAACAGGGUCCACUGACCCCACCCGUCUCCUGGGAGCUGCCGGGUGGAAGAUGACCACCUGUUUCUUCCUCGCAAGCCCUGGGCCUGAAGAGCUAUGCAGUGGGGACGCACACCCCAGGGGCGCACAAAAUGUUUCCAGGAAAAUAUUCAGCUUUGCUACUACUCAGCAGACAGGGGGACCGUGGCACCCCCGGCCUCAGCCAGACCGUCCGCUGCACACCUGCAUGGCACUGACUGAACAUGACGUGUCUGAUCAACACGGGGCCAUGCCUCCGAGAACGCGACUGCAGCUCUCCCUGCGCCUCUGUCCCAUCUUCAGCUACAGAACCGGAGCUCCAUAUGCGGGCCUGGGGGUCAUCUGAAUGUAAACAUCACUUUGGAGUCACCAUACUCUCAUAAUCUACACUGUUUUAAUAAAAUCUUAGUAAUUCUCUGUAAG